AUACGGAGGGUGCAAGCGUUACUCGAAAUCACUGGGCGUAAAGCGCGCGCAGGCGGCUAUUUAAGUUGGAUGUGAAAGCCUACGGCUCAACCGUAGAACUGCAUCCAAAACUAUUUAGCUAGAGUGUGGGAGAGGAAGAUGGAAUUAGUUGUGUAGGGGUAAAAUCCGUAGAGAUAACUAGGAAUACCAAAAGCGAAGGCAAUCUUCUGGAACACUACUGACGCUGAGGCGCGAAAGCGUGGGGAGCAAACGGGAUUAGAAACCCUUGUAGUCC
rnacentral:rRNA from 1 species